GGGUUGUGAGGUUAAGCGACUAAGCGUACACGGUGGAUGCCUAGGCAGUCAGAGGCGAUGAAGGGCGUGCUAAUCUGCGAAAAGCGUCGGUAAGCUGAUAUGAAGCGUUAUAACCGACGAUACCCGAAUGGGGAAACCCAGUGCAAUACGUUGCACUAUCGUUAGAUGAAUACAUAGUCUAACGAGGCGAACCGGGGGAACUGAAACAUCUAAGUACCCCGAGGAAAAGAAAUCAACCGAGAUUCCCCCAGUAGCGGCGAGCGAACGGGGAGGAGCCCAGAGUCUGAAUCAGUUUGUGUGUUAGUGGAAGCGUCUGGAAAGUCGCACGGUACAGGGUGAUAGUCCCGUACACCAAAAUGCACAGGCUGUGAACUCGAUGAGUAGGGCGGGACACGUGACAUCCUGUCUGAAUAUGGGGGGACCAUCCUCCAAGGCUAAAUACUCCUGACUGACCGAUAGUGAACCAGUACCGUGAGGGAAAGGCGAAAAGAACCCCGGCGAGGGGAGUGAAAUAGAACCUGAAACCGUGUACGUACAAGCAGUGGGAGCACCUUCGUGGUGUGACUGCGUACCUUUUGUAUAAUGGGUCAGCGACUUAUAUUUUGUAGCAAGGUUAACCGAAUAGGGGAGCCGUAGGGAAACCGAGUCUUAACUGGGCGUCUAGUUGCAAGGUAUAGACCCGAAACCCGGUGAUCUAGCCAUGGGCAGGUUGAAGGUUGGGUAACACUAACUGGAGGACCGAACCGACUAAUGUUGAAAAAUUAGCGGAUGACUUGUGGCUGGGGGUGAAAGGCCAAUCAAACCGGGAGAUAGCUGGUUCUCCCCGAAAGCUAUUUAGGUAGCGCCUCGUGAACUCAUCUUCGGGGGUAGAGCACUGUUUCGGCUAGGGGGCCAUCCCGGCUUACCAAACCGAUGCAAACUCCGAAUACCGAAGAAUGUUAUCACGGGAGACACACGGCGGGUGCUAACGUCCGUCGUGAAGAGGGAAACAACCCAGACCGCCAGCUAAGGUCCCAAAGUCAUGGUUAAGUGGGAAACGAUGUGGGAAGGCACAGACAGCCAGGAUGUUGGCUUAGAAGCAGCCAUCAUUUAAAGAAAGCGUAAUAGCUCACUGGUCGAGUCGGCCUGCGCGGAAGAUGUAACGGGGCUAAACCAUGCACCGAAGCUGCGGCAGCGACACUUAGGUGUUGUUGGGUAGGGGAGCGUUCUGUAAGCCGUUGAAGGUGACCUGUGAGGGUUGCUGGAGGUAUCAGAAGUGCGAAUGCUGACAUAAGUAACGAUAAUGCGGGUGAAAAACCCGCACGCCGGAAGACCAAGGGUUCCUGUCCAACGUUAAUCGGGGCAGGGUGAGUCGACCCCUAAGGCGAGGCUGAAAAGCGUAGUCGAUGGGAAACAGGUUAAUAUUCCUGUACUUGGUGUUACUGCGAAGGGGGGACGGAGAAGGCUAGGCUGGCCGGGCGACGGUUGUCCCGGUUUAAGCGUGUAGGGGGAGUGACCAGGUAAAUCCGGUUGCUUAUCAACCCUGAGGCGUGAUGACGAUGCACCACGGUGCAGAAGCAGUUGAUGCCAUGCUUCCAGGAAAAGCCUCUAAGCAUCAGGUAACAUUAAAUCGUACCCCAAACCGACACAGGUGGUCAGGUAGAGAAUACUCAGGCGCUUGAGAGAACUCGGGUGAAGGAACUAGGCAAAAUGGUGCCGUAACUUCGGGAGAAGGCACGCUGGCGUUAGGUGAAAGGACUAGCUCCUGGAGCUGAAGCCAGUCGCAGAUACCAGCUGGCUGCAACUGUUUAAUAAAAACACAGCACUGUGCAAACACGAAAGUGGACGUAUACAGUGUGACGCCUGCCCGGUGCUGGAAGGUUAAUUGAUGGGGUCAGCCGCAAGGCGAAGCUCUUGAUCGAAGCCCCAGUAAACGGCGGCCGUAACUAUAACGGUCCUAAGGUAGCGAAAUUCCUUGUCGGGUAAGUUCCGACCUGCACGAAUGGCGUAAUGAUGGCCAGGCUGUCUCCACCCGAGACUCAGUGAAAUUGAACUCGCUGUGAAGAUGCAGUGUACCCGCGGCAAGACGGAAAGACCCCGUGAACCUUUACUAUAGCUUGACACUGAACAUUGAGCCUUGAUGUGUAGGAUAGGUGGGAGGCCUUGAAGUGUGGACGCCAGUCUGCAUGGAGCCAACCUUGAAAUACCACCCUUUAAUGUUUGAUGUUCUAACUCGGCCCCAUGAUCUGGGGUGAGGACAGUGUCUGGUGGGUAGUUUGACUGGGGCGGUCUCCUCCCAAAGAGUAACGGAGGAGCACGAAGGUUAGCUAAUCACGGUCGGACAUCGUGAGGUUAGUGCAAAGGCAUAAGCUAGCUUGACUGCGAGAGUGACGGCUCGAGCAGGUACGAAAGUAGGUCUUAGUGAUCCGGUGGUUCUGAAUGGAAGGGCCAUCGCUCAACGGAUAAAAGGUACUCCGGGGAUAACAGGCUGAUACCGCCCAAGAGUUCAUAUCGACGGCGGUGUUUGGCACCUCGAUGUCGGCUCAUCACAUCCUGGGGCUGAAGUAGGUCCCAAGGGUAUGGCUGUUCGCCAUUUAAAGUGGUACGCGAGCUGGGUUUAGAACGUCGUGAGACAGUUCGGUCCCUAUCUGCCGUGGGCGUUGGAAGAUUGAGAGGGGCUGCUCCUAGUACGAGAGGACCGGAGUGGACGAAUCACUGGUGUUCGGGUUGUCAUGCCAAUGGCAUUGCCCGGUAGCUAAAUUCGGAAGAGAUAACCGCUGAAAGCAUCUAAGCGGGAAACUUGCCUCGAGAUGAGUCUUCCCUGGGGCUUAAAGCCCCUGAAGGAACGUUAAAGACUAUGACGUUGAUAGGCUGGGUGUGUAAGUGCAGCGAUGUAUUGAGCUAACCAGUACUAAUGAUCCGUGAGGCUUAACCUUACAACACCGAAGGUGUUU
rnacentral:rRNA from 1 species